rfam:Macaca mulatta chromosome 3, whole genome shotgun sequence.
AGAUGUGUGGUCAAUCUGGCUGCAACAGCUGUGACCCCAUUGGUCGCCAGGGUUAAUUUGGCUGAUCUGACUGGCUAGGCAGGUUGUUCCCUUACCCUCACUAUUCCCAAAGCUGAGCACUUAAUGGAAGAAGACAACCUUCCCUGAUAGAGGAAGAUUGUUCUUCUGUCAAGGAUAUAUGAGUAGCUGCACCUCCCCUAAUACUUCCUCCAAACAAGUUGAAGACACUUCAUAUCACGCCUAGAAAGAGGAACAGAUGAAUGUGUAAGAUACUGGAGAGUGUUUGUACUCCGCACUGCGGGUAAAUAUCACAUGUGUUAUACCUUGU